GCCUCGGAGGCGGCGGAAAAAAGAAGAAAAAGAAAAAAAGACGUCGGAAGCCUCAGCUCUGCCGAGUCGACGCAUCGACCCCUUCUUCUUAUAAAUUUCCAUUUCCCCCUCGAUUCAACCUGCCUCCCCAAAAUCCCACUCGAUCCCCAGUUCGAUUCCGCCCCUUCCUCGAAUCUCUACCUGUUCGUCCUCUCGAGAAGGAUCCCCAUUCGAUUCCCCCUCUUCCUCCCUCUACCUAUUCGUCCUGAGCAUGGACAGCAAUCUGCGAGAUUCGCUGCUCCCGGCGGGCGUUUGCAGCGGCGACGACAUCACGGUGACGCCACCAGCCGGGACCUCGCGUUCGCUGCUUGACGCGGGCUAGAACAGCCUUGUGUCCACGGGGUCCUCGUCGCCACCACCUGCAGCCGGGUUACCUGGCCGCGGCCAGAUUUCUCCGAUGAGUCAAGAAAACGGAACCCGGGUUCUCAGCAGCGGAACUUCGCCUCCUUCCUUCCUCUCAUCUGCAUUUGGAGUUUGGCCGCGUUCUUUCGGCAGGCGGCGGCGAAGGAUGCUGCAGCUCCCGGUAUCUGCUCCGCGCCGCAGUUGUUUUGAUGGGCUCCACGAGUUCAUCCAGGAGCAUCGUCAGAAGGGUUCACGGCUUGAUUCUCUUGGUGCUGAGAAGGUGAUCGGAAUAUUUGGCUUCUGUCUGUUUGGAUCCCUGUCACUCUUGCCGUCCACCAUGGACCGCGUCAAGGAUUUGGGUUACAGAGGCAUCUUUAUGCUGAUAUUUGGUUCCAUUUUGGGUGCUGGCGAGCGUCGGUGUCAUGUGCGGACUGAACGGCAAGACAGAUUUUGAGCAGGCCGUAUGCAGGCAUACCGGCCGGCUCGGUGUUCUUGGUUUAGCCGUAUUAGUCGUCUUCCACGUCGGAUGGAUACUCCCUUCCAACAACGUAGCGGGCUUCUAUGUCAUGUUGGUUGUGGCCGUGAUACUUCACUGUCUGUCAUGGUUAAUGAGCUGCAUGGUUGGGGAGGACAGGAUCGAUGGCACCACGACACCAGAGGCGCAGCAGCAUCAACAGUAGAGAAAGGCACGCGGGUGAAAUGCAGUCUAACACCUUCAGUCACCGGAUGUAGCACUAUGUGGAGGGCUUUGUAGAUAGAUAGCAAACACUAUGAGCGCCGGUAAUGAAGUACAAAUGUACUCGGAGAAUGGAGCAGAUGGUUCAUUGCAUGCUGCCCAAUGUAAAACAUGUCAGCAAUUUGUUCAAACUAGCAAAACUGCAGGUACAUAAAACUUGCCUGGAUCGAACAAUCACCAGGCAAAUAACAAUGGGAAUUUUCCCAAAGACCACUUAGUGAACAAUCACAUCCAUUUUGCCUCGU